GAAAAAGUAUGCAAGAACUGCUAACUCAUGCCCCCGCGCAUAAAAUCGCGGCUUUUUCU
rnacentral:tRNA from 1 species